UUGUGGGUGGAUUAGUGGCGAACGGGUGAGUAACACGUGAGUAACCUGCCCUUAACUCUGGGAUAAGCCUGGGAAACUGGGUCUAAUACCGGAUAUGACUCCUCAUCGCAUGGUGGGGGGUGGAAAGCUUUUUGUGGUUUUGGAUGGACUCGCGGCCUAUCAGCUUGUUGGUGAGGUAAUGGCUCACCAAGGCGACGACGGGUAGCCGGCCUGAGAGGGUGACCGGCCACACUGGGACUGAGACACGGCCCAGACUCCUACGGGAGGCAGCAGUGGGGAAUAUUGCACAAUGGGCGGAAGCCUGAUGCAGCGACGCCGCGUGAGGGAUGACGGCCUUCGGGUUGUAAACCUCUUUCAGUAGGGAAGAAGCGAAAGUGACGGUACCUGCAGAAGAAGCGCCGGCUAACUACGUGCCAGCAGCCGCGGUAAUACGUAGGGCGCAAGCGUUAUCCGGAAUUAUUGGGCGUAAAGAGCUCGUAGGCGGUUUGUCGCGUCUGCUGUGAAAGACCGGGGCUCAACUCCGGUUCUGCAGUGGGUACGGGCAGACUAGAGUGAUGUAGGGGAGACUGGAAUUCCUGGUGUAGCGGUGAAAUGCGCAGAUAUCAGGAGGAACACCGAUGGCGAAGGCAGGUCUCUGGGCAUUAACUGACGCUGAGGAGCGAAAGCAUGGGGAGCGAACAGGAUUAGAUACCCUGGUAGUCCAUGCCGUAAACGUUGGGCACUAGGUGUGGGGGACAUUCCACGUUUUCCGCGCCGUAGCUAACGCAUUAAGUGCCCCGCCUGGGGAGUACGGCCGCAAGGCUAAAACUCAAAGGAAUUGACGGGGGCCCGCACAAGCGGCGGAGCAUGCGGAUUAAUUCGAUGCAACGCGAAGAACCUUACCAAGGCUUGACAUGGACCGGAUCGCUGCAGAAAUGUGGUUUCCCCUUUGGGGUCGGUUCACAGGUGGUGCAUGGUUGUCGUCAGCUCGUGUCGUGAGAUGUUGGGUUAAGUCCCGCAACGAGCGCAACCCUCGUUCUAUGUUGCCAGCACGUGAUGGUGGGGACUCAUAGGAGACUGCCGGGGUCAACUCGGAGGAAGGUGGGGACGACGUCAAAUCAUCAUGCCCCUUAUGUCUUGGGCUUCACGCAUGCUACAAUGGCCGGUACAAAGGGUUGCGAUACUGUGAGGUGGAGCUAAUCCCAAAAAGCCGGUCUCAGUUCGGAUUGGGGUCUGCAACUCGACCCCAUGAAGUCGGAGUCGCUAGUAAUCGCAGAUCAGCAACGCUGCGGUGAAUACGUUCCCGGGCCUUGUACACACCGCCCGUCAAGUCACGAAAGUUGGUAACACCCGAAGCCGGUG
rnacentral:rRNA from 1 species